rnacentral:rRNA from 1 species
GGAAUCUUCCACAAUGGGCGAAAGCCUGAUGGAGCAACGCCGCGUGUGUGAUGAAGGCUUUCGGGUCGUAAAGCACUGUUGUAUGGGAAGAACAGCUAGAAUAGGAAAUGAUUUUAGUUUGACGGUACCAUACCAGAAAGGGACGGCUAAAUACGUGCCUG